GAAAUGCGAUAAGUAAUGCGAAUUGCAGAUUUCAGUGAGUCAUCGAAUCUUUGAACGCACAUUGCGCCCGCCGGCAUUCCGGCGGGCAUGCCUGUUCGAGCGUCAUUUCAACCCUCAAGCCCCUAAGCUUGGUGUUGGAGGAUCGCCUGUUGUCCUUUAUUGGGCUAGGCGACCUCUGAAAACUAGUGGCGGUUCCGCCCGCGGCAACCUUUGCGUAGUAGCACAAACCUCGCAUAUUGGAGCCCGGUGGUAGCCUUGCCGUAAAACACCCAAAUUUUUCAUGAGUUGACCUCGGAUCAGGUAGGAAUACCCGCUGAACUUAA
rnacentral:misc_RNA from 1 species